UUAUGUAUGAUGAAUAAUUUAGAUAGGGACAACUGAUGUCUAUGACUGAUUUAUCUAAUUUGAUAGUAGAUCUGACGCUA
rfam:Drosophila willistoni strain TSC#14030-0811.24 scf2_1100000004521 genomic scaffold, whole genome shotgun sequence.